GCGAGUGAAGCGGGAAAAGCUCAAAUUUAAAAUCUGAUAGUCCCUGUGGCUGUCCGAGUUGUAAUCUAGAGAAGUGCUUUCCGCGUUGGACCGUGUACAAGUCUCUUGGAACAGAGCAUCAUAGAGGGUGAGAAUCCCGUCUUUGACACGGACUACCAGUGCUUUUGUGAUGCGCUCUCAAAGAGUCGAGUUGUUUGGGAAUGCAGCUCAAAAUGGGUGGUAAAUUCCAUCUAAAGCUAAAUAUUGGCGAGAGACCGAUAGCGAACAAGUACCGUGAGGGAAAGAUGAAAAGAACUUUGGAAAGAGAGUUAAACAGUACGUGAAAUUGUUGAAAGGGAAACGCUUGAAGUCAGUCACGUUGGCUAGAAAUCAACCCUUCAUUGAAGGGUGUACUUUCUGGCUUUACGGGUCAACAUCAAUUUUGACUGUUGGAUAAAAUUCAAUAUUUAUGCAUUUUCGGAUGUAUAGCCUUUGAUUGCAUACAACAGUUGGGAUUGAGGAACUCAGCAUGCCGCAAGGCCGGGUACAUUGUGACCACGUACAUGCUUAGGAUGUUGGCAUAAUGGCUUUAAUCGACCCGUCUUGAAACACGGACCAAGGAGUCUAACAUGCCCGCGAGUGUUUGGGUGGUAAACCCGAGCGCGUAAUGAAAGUGAAUGUUGAGAUCUCUGUCAUGGAGAGCAUCGACGCCCGGACCAGACCUUUUGUGACGGUUCCGCGGUAGAGCGUGUAUGUUGGGACCCGAAAGAUGGUG
rnacentral:rRNA from 1 species